UUGUAACAAGGUUUCCGUAGGUGAACCUGCGGAAGGAUCAUUACCGAGUGCGGGCCCCUCGGGGCCCAACCUCCCACCCGUGUUGCCCGAACCUAUGUUGCCUCGGCGGGCCCCGCGCCCGCCGACGGCCCCCCUGAACGCUGUCUGAAGUUGCAGUCUGAGACCUAUAACGAAAUUAGUUAAAACUUUCAACAACGGAUCUCUUGGUUCCGGCAUCGAUGAAGAACG
rnacentral:misc_RNA from 1 species